rnacentral:rRNA from 1 species
UUACGAGGUCAGGACACUGUGAGGAUUGACAGAUUGAAAGCUCUUUCUUGAUUCAGUGGGUGGUGGUGCAUGGCCGUUCUUAGUUGGUGGAGUGAUUCGUCUGGUUAAUUCCGUUAACGAACGAGACCUUAACCUGCUAAAUAGUCACGCGAACCGGUCCGCAAGGGCUCAAAGUUCGCGGCUCGACUUCUUAGAGGGACUAUUCGCACCCGCCAGCGAAUGGAAGUUUGAGGCAAUAACAGGUCUGUGAUGCCCUUAGAUGUUCUCGGCCGCACGCGCGUUACACUGACGGAGUCAACGAGCGUUUUUCCUUGCCCGACAGGGCUGGGUAACCUCCUGAAACUCCGUCGUGAUGGGGAUAGAUCAUUGCAAUUAUUGAUCUUGAACGAGGAAUUCCUAGUAGGCGCGAGUCAUCAACUCGCGCCGAUUACGUCCCUGCCCUUUGUACACACCGCCCGUCGCUCCUACCGAUUGAACGGUCCGGCGAGAACUCCGGAUGGUC